UAUAAUUUUUUGAGUUUAAUUUCUUCGUUUGAUUUUUGAACAAAUAAGAUAUGUUAUUGGACCAGGUCUGAAGACUAGAUGGGAUCAAACCAAUAAGAAGCCUGACAAAGUCCACGAAGAAAAACCAGCUAACAUUGCAAUGAGGACUUGUUUCAACAGUUAGAAUGACAAAAAAAACCCAGCUAACAUCGGCAAAUAUAGGUUCAAAUUACCAGUUUACCACCACCGAAACUGCUCCUAGAAGGCGACAACAAUCCUAAGCCAUUUAGGCUUUUAUCACAGGGAGUGGGUGGGCGAGGAGCAUGGCUCCUCUAUGGCUGGCUAGGCCACACCGACCACAAGCAGGGGUGAAGUCACAGCGUGGGCACAGAGGGCAUCCGCCCACACACUGACAAAGGAAAGUUUGGAGAAAGAAACUUAUCAUUAAUGCUCUAAUAUGGAUGUUGAUGAUUGUUUUAAGAUUUAAUUAAGGAGGAACCACACUUCUUCUCUUUUGCAGUCGCGUUGUGGAAGCUAAUCCUUGCAUGGCAAUUGCGAUCCCUGUGAUUGGAGAUGAUGUAGGGCCUCAAUUAAGAAAUUGGAGAUCAUACAUGGAUAGAUUUUUUAUCUGGAGUCAAUCACCUACCAAGGUUGAGUGAUAUUCUAGCUUAUCUACUGGCCUGAAUCAAGGGAUCCGAAAUGUAGCAAAAAUCCAGCUUUGAAGGACAACACUACAUUUCGAGGGACAGUAUUGGAUUAUAUCAGCGAAACACAUGCAGGAGUUAUUACCUAAAAUAACUUUCCAAACGCAUGGCCAAGAGGAGACCCAUGGAAGACGGUGGAGGGGUAUGGCUUGGAGCACAAAAUGCCCUCACAAGACUUGCGCAGUUGUGCCUUUUGCUUUGGCUAGUGUCCUUUCGGAUCCAAAGUUCAAGAUUUACCGCGAGUUACUCAAUUAAGAGUAAAUGGACACCCAAUUUGCAAUUUAAAUAACAAAAAAGCUAAAAUGGAAGGUAAGUUUAUUCGGCCAUAGAUAUACUUUUCUACGCUCCACUGCAUUGUAGUGUAGUUCCAGUGUUUGCCCUUUCAAAAAUAAAAUAAAUGUCUUGGUUCGGUUUUUUCAUGCAAUCCAUAAAUUAUUAAAAAAUUGAUUGGGAGUAUAAGAGUCUUCUCUGGUAUUUUAAAAACAUCAAAAUAACCUAAUUACCAUUCAUGUCAGUUUUAAAAACGAGUAUAUAGUGGCAUUUGUGUCUUUUUAAUAUAGUAAAAUGACAAGUUUACCUUUUAAAUAAAAAAAUUAAACCAUGUGUCCAAGGGUAUUUUGAUCUUUUAACAAUGAUUAAUUAAUAUUUCAAUUGAAAAAGAUGUUGACACAUGGAAGGUGCCUUUCCACUGGCAAAAAAUGCCCUCACACCGUGUCGUUGGAAGAUUCAUUAUGUUCUCCUUUUUAUUGGUGCGAUGAGUGUCGGUGGAGGUAGGACAGUUUAUUGCCAAUAAGGUUUUUUUUCAACUUAUUUUCUCUCUCCUCCCUAAAAAAUAACAAGUUGGUCCUUUUUCUUGUCGAUAUUCCAACUUCAGUUCUUAUUUUUUUGAAUUUUGGUUUUUGUUCUUGACUUUUUGGUAAAAAAUUUAUUUGUUUUUAAUUUUAUUAUUCAAUCCUAAUUUGUCAUAUAUUUUUUUUUUUGAUUCGCUACUUAUUCUUUUGAUUUUUUAUUUUUUUUUCCUUGGCCCUUUUAUCAAAAUUUUAUUAGUUUCAAUUUCAUCAUUCAAUUCAAGUUUAUAGUAUAUUAUUUUUUUCAAUUUGGUCCUCAUUCUUUUGAAUUUUUUAUCUUUUUCUUAAAGUUAUUUUCUUUUUAAUUUCACUCUCCAAUAGAAAAUUUAUAAUUGCCCUUUAAUUUAUUUCUUUAUUUUAAUUUUUAUCUAAUUGCAAAGUGAGUGCCAGAUAAAGACUCUAAGGAUAUAUUGUGGGGGAGAGUUUAUCCACAACAAGCCUUUUCUUGAUUAUUGCAAAGAGAAUGGUAUUCAAAGGCAACUUAUUGUUCAACAUACUCCUCAGCAGAAUAGAGUUGUAGAAAGGAAGAAUAAAGCUAUUGAAGAAAUGGCAAGAAGCAUGUUAAAGGGGAAAAGACUUCCUAAUAAGUUAUGGGUUGAAGCAUGGCAUAAACAAAAACCUGAUGUCAAUCAUCUUAAAGUCUUUGACAGUAUUGCUUAUGCUCUUAUUCUUUCUCAAAGCAGAGACAAGUUUGAUAAGAAAGGAGAGAGACUUAUCUUCAUUGGCUAUAAUGAUGAAUCAAAAGGCUUUCAACUCUUCAAUGCUAGAAAGGAUCGGUUACUUCUUUCCAGAGAUGUUAUUUUUUUGAAUCUACAACUUGGAAAUGGAAAGAUUCAGUCAAUCCAGAAUUAGCAACACUGGAGUUACUUGAAGUUCCAAAGCAGCUUGAUGUUUCCAAUUCUUCUUCUCAAAAUAAAAUUGGUUCAAAUUCUCAGAAUGAUGGAAGCUCAUCAAGUUCUAAUGAAGAAUCAAACUUGGAAUCUCCUCCAAGGAGAUUUCGACCAUUAACUAACAUUUCUUGUCAUUUUACUUUCUUUUCAGGUGAACCUUUGAAUUUUGAAGAACCAGUAAGAAAUGAAGAAUGAAGGAAAGCUAUGAAUGAAGAGAUGAUAAGUAUUGAAAAAAAUCAAACAUGGAAGUUAGUUAAUCUCCCCAAAGAAAAGAAGGCAGUGAACUUAAAAUGGGUGUUCAAGGUCAAAUACAAUGAGGAUGGCAAUAUUCAGAAGCAUAAUGCUAGAAUUGUUGCAAAAGGCUACUCACAACAGCCUGAAUUUGAUUUUAUAGAUGCCUUUGCACUUGUUACAAGAAUGGAAACUAUCAGAAUAGUUCUUGCCUUAGUUGCACAACUUUAA